rnacentral:rRNA from 1 species
AGAGUUUGAUCAUGGCUCAGGAUGAACGCUGGCGGUAUGCCUUAUACAUGCAAGUCGUACGAGAGUUUUUAACUCUAGUGGCGGACGGGUGAGUAACACGUAAGAAUUUGCCUUUAGGAGGGGGACAACAACUGGAAACGGUUGCUAAUACCCCAUAUGCUUUCGAGUGAAAUGGAUUUCCGCCUAAAGAGAAGCUUGCGGCUGAUUAGCUUGUUGGUAGGGUAAUGGCCUACCAAGGCGACGAUCUGUAUCUGGUUUGAGAGGACGAUCAGACACACUGGAACUGAGACACGGUCCAGACUCCUACGGGAGGCAGCAGUAGGGAAUUUUCCGCAAUGGGCGAAAGCCUGACGGAGCAAUACCGCGUGAGGGAUGACUGCCUAUGGGUUGUAAACCUCUUUUUUCAGGGAGGAAUAAGUGACGUGUACCUGAAGAAUAAGCAUCGGCUAACUCCGUGCCAGCAGCCGCGGUAAGACGGAGGAUGCAAGUGUUAUCCGGAAUCACUGGGCGUAAAGCGUCUGUAGGUGGCUCGACAAGUCAACUGUUAAAUCUUGAAGCUCAACUUCGAAAUCGCAGUCGAAACUAUCGAACUAGAGUAUAGUAGAGGUAAAGGGAAUUUCCAGUGGAGCGGUGAAAUGCGUAGAGAUUGGAAAGAACACCGAUGGCGAAGGCACUUUACUGGGCUAUUACUGACACUCAGAGACGAAAGCUAGGGUAGCAAAUGGGAUUAGAUACCCCAGUAGUCCUAGCCGUAAACAAUGGAUACUAGGUGUUGAACAGAUCGACCUGUGCAGUACCAAAGCUAACGCGUUAAGUAUCCCGCCUGGGAAGUAUGCACGCGAGUGUGAAACUCAAAGGA